UAUUGCACAAUGGGGGGAACCCUGAUGCAGCGACGCCGCGUGGGUGAAGAAGCGCCUCGGCGCGUAAAGCCCUGUCAGCAGGGAAGAAAAUGACGGUACCUGAAGAAGAAGCCCCGGCUACCGACGUGCCAGCAGCCGCGGUAAUACGUAGCGGGCAAGCGUUAUCCGGAUUUCGUGGGUGGAAAGGGGGCGCAGACGGCGAUGCAAGCCAGGAGUGAAAGCCCGGGGCCCAACCCCGGGACUGCUCUUGGAACUGCGUGGCUGGAGUGCAGGAGGGGCAGGCGGAAUUCCUGGUGUAGCGGUGAAAUGCGUAGAUAUCAGGAGGAACACCGGUGGCGAAGGCGGCCUGCUGGACUGCAACUGACGUUGAGGCCCGAAAGCGUGGGGAGCAAACAGG
rnacentral:rRNA from 1 species